CCUACGGGUGGCAGCAGUGAGGAAUAUUGGUCAAUGGACGCAAGUCUGAACCAGCCAUGCCGCGUGCAGGAAGACGGCUCUAUGAGUUGUAAACUGCUUUUGUACGAGGGUAAACGCAGAUACGCGUAUCUGUCUGAAAGUAUCGUACGAAUAAGGAUCGGCUAACUCCGUGCCAGCCAACGCGGUAAUACGGAGGAUUCAAGCGUUAUCCGGAUUUCUUGGGUUUAACGGGUGCGUAGGUGGUCGGAUAAGUUAGAGGUGAAAUCCCGAGGCUCAACUUCGGAAUUGCUUCUGAUACUGUUCGGCUAGAGAGUAGUAGCGGUAGGCGGAAUGUAUGGUGUAGCGGUGAAAUGCGUAGAGAUCAGACAGAACACCGAUUGCGAAGGCAGCUUACCAAGCUACUUCUGACGUUGAGGCACGAAAGCGUGGGGAGCAAACAGGAUUAGAUACCCCGGUAGUC
rnacentral:rRNA from 1 species